CCCUUAGAUGUUCUGGGCUGCACACGUGCUACACUGGCAGGUUCAGCGAGCUUCAUGCCCUGAUCUGAAAGGAAUGGGAAAUCUUUUCAAAACCUGCCGUGCUUGGGAUAGAUGUUUGCAAUUAUUCAUCUUCAACGAGGAUUGCCUUGUAAGCGCACGUCAUCAGCGUGCAUUGAAUACGACCCUGUACUCUGUACACACCGCCCGUCGCUCCUACCGAUUGAAGUUUUCGGUGAGUUGACAGGAGGAUUUUUUUGAAACUGGUUCGCCAGUGGAUUUUAGAUCCAAAUGCCAACGAAUCGAUGGCUUUAGAGGAAGGAGAAGUCGUAACA
rnacentral:rRNA from 1 species